GACCCCAUCGUCCAGGCGGUUAGGACAUCAGCCUUUCAAGAUGAAAACAGGGGUUCAAAACCCCUUGGGGUCGCCA
rnacentral:tRNA from 1 species